AUACGGGGGGGGCGAGCGUUGUCCGGAAUCAUUGGGCGUAAAGGGUGAGUAGGCGGGAUGGUAAGUCAGGGGCGAAAGUCCAGGGCUCAACUCUGGAUCUGCCUCUGAUACUGCUGUCCUUGAGUGCGGGAGAGGGAAGUGGAAUUCCCGGUGUAGCGGUGAAAUGCGUAGAUAUCGGGAAGAACACCAGUGGCGAAGGCGGCUUCCUGGCCCGCAACUGACGCUGAAUCACGAAAGCGUGGGGAGCAAACAGGAUUAGAUACCCUAGUAGUCC
rnacentral:rRNA from 1 species